UACGUAGGGUCCGAGCGUUGUCCGGAAUUAUUGGGCGUAAAGAGCUCGUAGGCGGUUCGUCACGUCGGCUGUGAAAUCCCGAGGCUCAACCUCGGGUCUGCAGUCGAUACGGGCGGACUGGAGUACUGCAGGGGAGACUGGAAUUCCUGGUGUAGCGGUGAAAUGCGCAGAUAUCAGGAGGAACACCGGUGGCGAAGGCGGGUCUCUGGGCCGUAACUGACGCUGAGGAGCGAAAGCGUGGGGAGCGAACAGG
rnacentral:rRNA from 1 species